rnacentral:rRNA from 1 species
AUUGAACGCUGGCGGAAGGCCUAACACAUGCAAGUCGAGCGGAGCGGCGCACGGGUGAGGAAUGCAUAGGGAUCUGCCUGGUAGUGGGGGAUAACGUCCGGAAACGGGCGCUAAUACCGCAUAAUAUCAGAUGAGCCUAGGUAGGAUUCGCUAGUUGGUGGGGGAACGGCCUACCAAGGCGAAGAUCCGUAACUGGUCUGAGAGGAGGAUCAGUCAAACUGGAACUGAGACACGGUCCAGACUCCUACGGGAGGCAGCAGUGUGGGAUAUUGCACAAUGGGCGAAAGCCUGAUGCAGCGACGCCGCGGGGGGGAUGAAGGCUUUCGGGUUGUAAACCUCUUUCGCUAUCGAACGGGUAGGUGGAGAAGAAGCGCCGGCUAACUACGUGCCAGCAGCCGCGGUAAUAC